rnacentral:piRNA from 1 species
AGCUAGUUAGCUGCAAGACCACA